GCGUGCACUAGUAUAAAUGCACCUGUGCUGGGCCACCUUUUGAGUGGGAGUAGCCCUAGCACCCUCUUGACCAUACUGAGGUGUUUCCAUAGGCACCAACCUCACACCAACCCUUGUUUUCUUCCUACAAAAAGGCAUAGUAGAAGCCUAACAGUUGGAAGAGAUGAAAAAUAAGAACAGACAAUGUGUUGUGUAGUGAGCAACAGGAACAAUGGCAAAAUUCAGUCUCAAGAUCCAGUGAAUGGCUGCAUGCUUCAAAGACUCUGGGAAUUUCAGACAACAAUAAAGUACAUUCUAGUUACCAUCCAACAACCUUGAGUAUGGAUCUGUGAUCAGUGGUGGAAAUCAGUCUUCCUUCCUGAGGUGAACGUGGGUUUCUCCCAUGGACUGUGACUAUGUUCUGCGGAAUCUAAG